UUGGUAUAUUUUUACUUACUGGAUUGC
rnacentral:piRNA from 1 species